rnacentral:rRNA from 1 species
AUUGAACGCUGGCGGCAGGCUUAACACAUGCAAGUCGAGCGGAGAUGAGGUGCUUGCACCUUAUCUUAGCGGCGGACGGGUGAGUAAUGCUUAGGAAUCUGCCUAUUAGUGGGGGACAACAUUCCGAAAGGAAUGCUAAUACCGCAUACGUCCUACGGGAGAAAGCAGGGGAUCUUCGGACCUCGCGCUAAUAGAUGAGCCUAAGUCGGAUUAGCUAGUUGGUGGGGUAAAGGCCUACCAAGGCGACGAUCUGUAGCGGGUCUGAGAGGAUGAUCCGCCACACUGGGACUGAGACACGGCCCAGACUCCUACGGGAGGCAGCAGUGGGGAAUAUUGGACAAUGGGGGGAACCCUGAUCCAGCCAUGCCGCGUGUGUGAAGAAGGCCUUAUGGUUGUAAAGCACUUUAAGCGAGGAGGAGGCUACUGAGACUAAUACCCUUGGAUAGUGGACGUUACUCGCAGAAUAAGCACCGGCUAACUCUGUGCCAGCCGCCGCCGUAAGAC